GUGAACAUAUUCUUCACAAUCAGCUCAGCAUCAAAGCCAGGAGCGAGUUUCCCUUUGCCAGAUGCCACCUGGGCGUGAAUGUACUCUGAGAACUGGAAAAGAAGGGGACAGGAAAGACCAUGAGUUCAGCUGCCAUGAACGCCAGGCCUGGGGCCAGAAACAGAGCAGUCUGGGGGUGACAGGGCUGGAACUUGAGUCUGGGCUACCAACACAGACAAGAUCUUUUUGGCAGCUAUAUGACCUACGAUCUGUGUUUUGUUUUGUUUUUUUCUCUAAAUGCAGGUGAAAAACCCUUGUACUAAAUGACUCCCAGAGCCCUUAUUACUCAGGUAGCCAAUACCCAGCAGCCGUCAGAGCUAUCCCUUCUCCCAACUCGGUUCCCCACCAAAGGCUGACCCCCAUGACCACCCAAGACUGUAAGAACAUUCUUGGAUGCAUGCAUUCAUUCAUAUGAUCAAAACAUAUGGUCUACUAUGUGCUGAGCACACUGUUCUAGAUCUUGAAAUAUAUCAAUACACAAACAAACAAACACCCUGCCCCUGUGAUGCUUGCAUUCUAGUGGAAACAGACAAUUAGACAUGAACAUAAGAAUAGGUAAAUUACACAUUAAGUUACAAAGUGAAAUGCUCCAGAAAAAAAUCAAAAAGCGGAGCUCAGUAAGGAAGGGAGAAAGGGAUGAAGUGUUGAAUUCAGUGGUCAGGAUAAAACUUUAAGGAGAAGGGAAGAUUUGUGCAAAGGCUUGAAAGAUGAGAAGGAAAGGGCCGAACAAGUUAUCUGGGGUAGAUGUCUCCUGAGCAGAGAUGGCAGCCGGUGCCAGGGCUCAAGGUGGACGCAUGCCUGGGUGGUCACAGACAGCACUGGAGGUUGGUGUGGCCGGGUAAAGUGGGCAGAGGGAGACAGCCGGCAAAGAGGUUACAGCGAGCAGAAAGUGCAGGGUCUUCACAGGCCACUGUGAGGCCCUGUAGACAGGGGCCUCUGCAGGUCUGACCCAGCUUCUGUGUGAGAACGGCCACUGUGAGGGCAGGAGGAGCUUCAUGAACACCACUGCUGUGAUGUGACCCGGGAAAGGGAUGACAGGCCCCGGGCUAAGAUGCUACAGGGUGGGGGUGGUAAGAAGUGUCAGGUUCUGCGUGUGCUCUCAAGGUAGAGCUGGAAUGAUUUCCUGAGGACCAUUACGGCCUACGAGAGAAAGAGGAGUGAGAGAUCACCGAGUGCUCUCGCCUGAGCCACUGGAGGCCAGUGAUGCCACUGACUGCGACGGGAAAGGCUUUGGGUAAAGCAGGCCCCAAGCGGGGUGUGCGGGUGGAUAGCAGGGGUUCCGUAAAUGAGGACAUCAAGCAGGCAGCUGAACACAUGAGUGUGAAGUGGAGAGAGAAGACUGGACUGGAGCUACAAAUCCAGACGCCAUCAGGAUAUGGACCCGAUAAGACCACGGAGCGAGUGACUUAAAGACAGAGAAAAGAACAGAGGUCAAGACUUAGCCCGGGGUACUCCAACAUGAAGCGAUCAGGGACAAGAGGCCUGAGAGGGACGUACCAGGGAGGUAGAAGGAACACCAUGAAGUGUGGUGUCCUGGAAGCCAGAGAAAGAUGCAUCCUGUAGGGGAAUCAGCUGUGUUGAAGUUAAGAGGAGCGUGAGAGCUGACCACUGGAUUCCGCGAUACGGAAGACAUUGGCCACCCUGGCAAGGUCAGGCUCAGAGGCAUAGAGGGACAAAUGCCAGAAAGGAGUGGGUUUAGGAGAGAAUGGGAGGAGAGGAAUUGGAGGCAGAAAGGACACACAAUUCUUUUGAAGUUUUUGCUGUAAAGGAAGGAAAGCAAUGAAAGAAACAGACACAUCCAGGGAAGGGAAAAUAAUAGCACAUUUGUAUGCAAAUGAGAAAGAUCCAGAAGUGCUGAUGAUGUGGAGAGAGAGAGGAAAAGGCUGGAGGAUGCGCUUCAAUAGCAGAUGUGGAAGAGGCAGGGAGCUGGAAUUCCCCAGGGGUGGGACAGAACAGACGGUUCUAUUGCCCAGCUUCACAAAGAGGAGUGUGGUCCUGGCUCAAACAACUGAGUAGCUGUGUGACCCUGGACAAGUCAUUUACCUUCUCUGUGCAGUUUCUUCUAAAAAACAGCUGCUGUGAGGGCCAAAUCAGAGAAUACACUCAGCACAUACAGGCAGUCGUUGAGCACCCAGUAACGAGAACUAAAUGCAGACUGUGUGCGCUGGAAUCAAGCCCUACACCUCUUAGGGAAUCGGUUUCUUCAGAGAGGAAUGGUGAGCUUCCAUCAAGAGGGUGUGUGUAAAAGCGCUUGGCACACAAGUGUGCUGGUCAUCUCACAAGCCCUCCAGCCAGCUGGCCUCACCCUUAGAAGGCCUCACCUUCAGAACCGGCCCCACAGCCUCACCAGGCUCCCUGAGCUCUUCGGUCCCACCUUCCUACAGAGGCCAGUUAGUUACCUCUUCCAGGAGGACUUCUCCGUUGCCAUCCUUGUCAAUUUCUUCAAAAAGGUUGGGUGACACCUCACCAUUCCAUAUGAACAUGUACCCCUCGGGAAGGCCAGCCACCAGCUCCAGCAGCUCAAUGUCAAACACUAAUACGGCACUGCCGGGCACUUCUCCAUCUGUCCAGGUGACAGGAGCGGGAGGCGGUGUCAGCCGGCAGGCAGCAGUCAAGCCCAACAACCAGCACCCACCCCGACCUCCAGCAGCCUCACUCAGGGUGGGACUUCUGACCAAAGCAAGAAAGCGGAGCAGAGGCUAGUCACCUUCUCACUGUAGGCAGUGGCCCGUUAAUGACUCACGAAAUCAGUUUAGAGGGUGGUGACCAGCGUUUAGUUAUUUUUUAAAUUAAGGAAUAGAAUAGAGGCCAGGCAUGGUGGCUCACGCCUAUAAUUCCAGCACUUUGGGAGGCCGACUCGGGCGGAUCACUUGAGAUUAGGAGUUCAAGACCAGCCUGGCCAACAUGGUGAAACUCCAUCUCUACGAAAAAUACAAAAAUUAGCUGGUGUGGUGGUGGGCACCUGUAGUCCCAGCUACUCGGGAAGCUGAGGCAUGAGAAUUGCUUGAACCAGGGAGGCAAACAUCGCAGUGAGCCGAGAUCACGCCAUUGCACUUCAGCCUGGGUGACCGAGUGAGACUCCAUCUCAAAAAAAAAAAAAAAAAAAAAAAGGAACAGAAUAAACAGAAUACUUUGUACCUGUGGAAAAGAUAGGUAUUGUGUCAUGAAACUUGAGUUUAAAUUUUAUAUAUAAAACUAAAAGUAAUGCUCACUUUAGCAACACAUACUAAAAUUGGAACCAUACUGAGAAGAAUAGCAUGACCUCCAUGCAAACAGGACAUGCAAAUUUGUGAUGUGUUGAUUAAAAAGAAAGAAAGAAAUGUGUAUAUGUGUAACUUGUAUGUUUAUGUAGGAUACAGAUUGGGAAAUAAAAUGUAUUUCUUACUGUGUGUCUUGUGGAAAAAAGUUUGAAAGCUGCUUGUAGAGACUACAAUACAAUGGUAAAACUUUUAAGUAAAUCUAACAGCAGAACUUUUAGAAUCUGAACAAUAUGCCUGAAGAUGAUGAUCCAAGAUUUGACUGUAAGCACAAAUUCAAGAAUAGUGUAUACAGUAUAGGCCCAAAGAAGUUAUCUAAGUAUGGACUAUAUAAAGGUAAUGUGCAUUAUUCCAAAUUAUUAUAUUUUAUCUAGAUUAUAUGUUAUAUAUAAUAUGCUAUGUAUUAUAAUUAUUAAUAAUACAUCACAGAAAAAGUCUUAAAGAAUGUACAACAAUUUUUUUUUUUUCUGAGAUGGAGUCUUGCCCUGUCGCCAGGCUGCAGUACAGUGGCAUGAUCUCGGCUCACUGCAAGCUCCACCUCCCGGGUUCACACGAUUCUCCUGCCUCAGCCUCCCAAGUAGCUGGGAUUAUAGGUGCCCACCACCAUGCCCAGCUAAUUUUUUGUACUUUUAGUAGAGACGGGGUUUCACCGUGUUAACCAGGAUGGUCUCCAUCUCCUGACCUCGUGAUCUGCCCACCUCGGCAUCCCAAAGUGCUGGGAUUACAGGCAUGAGCCACCGCACCCGGCCAGAAUAUACAACAAUUUUUAAAGGGUUUCUUCUGGGAUUGGUAGGAAGAACAAUGUACUUUACAAUUCUUUUAUGGGGAAAAAAUAUCAAUCCACAGUGCCUAUCAUUGUUACCAGUUAGCUCUUCCUAGCUCCUCCAUGUCCAGAUAUCAGCAGUGUGAAAACACUGAAAAGAAGCGGUUCCUGGGGCCAGGCGCAGUGGCUCACACUGAUAACCCCAGUGCUUUGGGAGGCCUAAGCAGGAGCAUCGCUUGAGCCCAGGAGUUAAGACCAGCAUGGGAAAGAUAGCGAGACUCUGUCUCUAAAAAAUAAAAAAUUAGCCAGGCGAGGUGGUGCAUGCCUGUAGUCCCAGCUACUCGGGAGACUGAGGUGGGAAGAUUGCUUGAGCCCAGGAGUUCAAGGCUGCAGUUAGCCAUGAUGGUGCCACUGCACUCCAGCCUGGGUGACAGAGUGAGACCCUGUCUCUGAAAAAAAAAAAGUUAUUGAAUCCCCAUGUGGAGGACACAUUGUGGCUGAAAUGAUGGAGUAAAACAUAACCACUGUGAGGAUGAGGUAAAGCCAGUAUUUCAAGAACUUGCAACUAAUCUCUCCCAAAGGAAACUGUCUUGGACAGCCUACAGGCUCAGAAGUGAAAAGCAACGGCCUACAGCAUUCCACCUGUCCCAGGAAACAGUUCCAGAAGGACGUGCUCAGUCUGACCCCAGAGAAACCUCCCGGACAGCUCCCCUGGGGACACCUCCCACACAUGGGUCUGAAGAUCCAAGAUUUAUUUCACUCAAACUGGUUCUUUCUCAAGAGGGUAAUGGAGCAUUGACGUGGCUCACUGAAUUCACAGGCGUCUCCAAACAAAAAUACUAAAUAAUUUUUAAAAAAUAGAAACCACACACUCUGGGUAUUACAUGUAAGAAGCAUGCUGUGAUUCUAACUAUGGCACCCCAAAAAGCACAAAAUUCAGAUAGUAAGCGGGCCCCCAACACCCUUGAAUAGCGUUGCUUACUCACCCACGCCAGCUUCCCCAUAGCCCAGGUGAGGCGGAAUGAUCACUGUCCGUUUCUCGCCAACGCACAUCUCUCUGAGACCCAUGUCCAUCCCCAACACAACUUGCCCAGAUCCCAGAACAAUACUGUAAGUUUUGCCUAAAUUCCACCUAAAAUGAAACAGAAGAGCCUCAUGUUAGGUCACCAACCCACUGGCACUGAGAGUGUUCCUAUGAGAAGAACACAUCACUCCUAGGGUAUUUCUACCAAAGAAAUGCAAAUCCCUAUCUAAUCAUGAGGAAACAUCAGACAAAAACAAAUUGGGGCACAUGCUGAAAAAUGUCUGGCUGUCAUCUUCAAAACUGUCAAGGCCAUGAAAAUCCAGGCAAGACUGUGGAAGUUCCAGAGUGGAGAAGCAUAGUGGAAUGGGGUCCUUUUUGCUUGAGCCCAGGAGGUGGAGGCUGCAGUGAGCCAAGAUCGUGCCCCUGCACUCCAGCCUGGGAGACAGAGUGAGACCCUGUCUCAAAAACAAAAAACAAAACAAAAAACCCUGGCUUUUGGAUUCAGCAAGACCUGAGAUGGAUUCCUGGUUCUGCCACUUAAUUUGACCCUGAGAAAUGUAAUCUCUCAGUUACUUUAUCUAUGAAACGGAGACAACAAAUAUAGCUAUCUCACAGGGACAUUUUAAGUCGCAAAUAACAUGUUAUGCUUGGCACAGUGGAGAGGAAGUAAAAAGGGCUCAAUAAAUGUUUGGCCUUGAGGUGUAAAGUGUUUAUGUCUGUAACAGUCUAAGACUAAAAAAAAAAAAAAAAGACCACCAAGAGUUUAAUUAUCCUUGAUGGCCAUGGGCCUCAGGAAGCCAGUUAAAAAAAAGUUUGCUCUAUCACUUCGGUCACUACUAAAAAUAAAUCUACUCCAAAAUCUAUGCCAUUCCUAUCACUUCCUAAAGGCAAACAGUGUUUAUGUUCUUUACUCCAAGGAGAAAAGCCCCCUGACCCCCCUUGAUGCCCAUGAGCACUGGGGACAACAUGGACGGGUGCCCCUUUGGGUCAUAUCCUCUUCUCAGGCUUCCCGACCUCCCCUGGGCCCAGGGCAGCCGCUUCUUUCCCUCCUCCAGCUGAUUACCAGCAAACCAAGACAGGGUUUGUGUUUUCCCACCUGGGAGGAACCCAAAACAAAGCCAACUCAGGGAUGGCUUUGGGGAGGGAGCCAACUCCCACUGCCUGCCUUUUUCUGGGGCUAC
rnacentral:lncRNA from 10 species